GUCUCGGAUAGCUUAACUGGUAGAGUCCUUGGCGCUUAACCGAGAGAUCUGGGUUCGAUUCCCAGUCUGGGCU
rnacentral:tRNA from 1 species